UCUGCAAACUUUAAAACAUUGUACAAUACCUAAACAAUUCAUUACAGAGCAUCAUUGCUACAGUUAUUCCCAACCAAGAAGUUUAGCUCUUCGUUCCCACAAGGCUGUUAUCUUCUUCUCCCGAGUAAGUAGCAGGGCAGCUAGUUCGCGGGCUCCCACAAACGCAGAGCGAUAACACCACAGCAAGAAUCACCAAAGUCCAUUUCACUGUUCUCCCUCCACAGCAGCACUACCAGUGGCUUUAUUCUGCUAUCCCUCUCUCUCUAUUUAAAGACUACAUUCAACCAGCUCUUUCUUCUCUGUAAUCUGUUGUAUCUGAGGUAUACCUUAAAGCUUCAUUUAUUGUUAUGGGUGAGUUCUUACUCAUUUCAGUA